GAUGAACGCUAGCGGCAGGCUUAAUACAUGCAAGUCGUGGGGCAGCAGGUUUGUAGCAAUACAGAUGCUGGCGACCGGCAAACGGGUGCGGAACACGUACAGAACCUUCCUUUGAGCGGGGAAUAGCCCAGAGAAAUUUGGAUUAAUACCCCAUAGUAUAAUGAAGUGGCAUCACUUUAUUAUUAAAGAUUUAUCACUCGAAGAUGGCUGUGCGGCUGAUUAGGUAGUUGGCGGGGUAAAGGCCCACCAAGCCUGCGAUCAGUAACUGGUGUGAGAGCACGACCAGUCACACGGGCACUGAGACACGGGCCCGACUCCUACGGGAGGCAGCAGUAAGGAAUAUUGGUCAAUGGAGGCAACUCUGAACCAGCCAUGCCGCGUGGAGGAUGAAGGUCCUCUGGAUUGUAAACUUCUUUUAUAUGGGACGAAAAAAGGCUUUUCUAAGUCGUCUGACGGUACCAUAUGAAUAAGCACCGG
rnacentral:rRNA from 1 species